GCCCCAGUAACGGCGAGUGAAGCGGCAAUAGCUCAAAUUUGAAAUCUGGCUCCUUUGGGGCCCGAGUUGUAAUUGGAGAGGGUGCUUUGGUGUUGGCAGCAGCCUAAGUUCCUUGGAACAGGUCAUCAUAGAGGGUGAGAAUCCCGUAUGUGGCUGAUUGUCUUCACCGUGUAAAGCCCCUUCGACGAGUCGAGUUGUUUGGGAAUGCAGCUCUAAAUGGGAGGUAAAUUUCUUCUAAAGCUAAAUACUGGCCAGAGACCGAUAGCGCACAAGUAGAGUGAUCGAAAGAUGAAAAGCACUUUGGAAAGAGAGUCAAAAAGCACGUGAAAUUGUUGAAAGGGAAGCGCUUGCAGCCAGACGUGCCUGUAGUUGCUCAUCUGGGGAUUUCCCCAGUGCACUCUUCUAUAGGCAGGCCAGCAUCAGUCUGGGCGGUUGGAGAAAGGCCUGUGUCACGUAGCUGCUUUCGGGCAGUGUUAUAGGGCAGGUGGAAUACGACCAGCCUGGACUGAGGUCCGCGCAUCUGCUAGGAUGCUGGCGUAAUGGCUGUAAGCGGCCCGUCUUGAAACACGGACCAAGGAGUCUAACAUCUAUGCGAGUGUUUGGGUGUCAAGCCCGAGCGCGCAAUGAAAGUGAACGGAGGUGGGAACCCUCGGGUGCACCAUCGACUGAUCCUGAUGUCUUUGGAUGGAUUUGAGUAAGAGCAUAGCUGUUGGGACCCGAAAGAUGGUGAACUAUGCCUGAAUAGGGUGAAGCCAGAGGAAACUCUGGUGGAGGCUCGCAGCGGUUCUGACGUGCAAAUCGAUCGUCAAAUUUGGGCAUAGGGGCGAAAGACUAAUCGA
rnacentral:rRNA from 1 species